GAUGAACGCUGGCGGCGCGCCUAACACAUGCAAGUCGAACGAUUAAAGCACCUUCGGGUGUGUAUAAAGUGGCGAACGGCUGAGUAACACGUGGGCAACCUGCCCCUUUCAUUGGGAUAGCCACGGGAAACCGUGGAUAAUACCGAAUACUUCGAGACUUCCGCAUGGAAGACCCGAGAAAGCUCCGGCGGUGAGAGAUGGGCCCGCGGCCUGUUAGCUUGUUGGUGGGGUAACGGCCUACCAAGGCAAUGAUGGGUAGCUGGGUUGAGAGACCGACCAGCCAGAUGGGGACUGAGACACGGCCCAGAGUCCUACGGGAGGCAGCAGUGGGGAAUCUUGCACAAUGGGCGAAAGCGUGAUGCGGCGACGCCGGGGGCGGGAUGAAGGCCUUCGGGUUGUAAACCGCUUUCAGCAGGGACGAGGCGAAAGUGACGGUACCUGAAGAAGAAGCCCCGGCUAACUACGUG
rnacentral:rRNA from 1 species